AGGCCCAUGAGGGGAUCGAACCUACGACCUUCGCUUUUUUAUCACGACGCUCUAACCAACUGAGUUAAUGGGCC